rnacentral:rRNA from 1 species
UACAGGGGGUGCAAACGUUGCUCGGAAUUAUUGGGCGUAAAGCGCGCGUAGGCGGCCACUUAAGUCGGAUGUGAAAGCCCCUGGCUCAACUGGGGAAGUGCACCCGAAACUGAAUGGCUUGAAUGCAAAAGAGGGUCGCGGAAUUCCCGGUGUAGAGGUGGAAUUCGUAGAUAUCGGGAGGAACACCGGUGGCGAAGGCGGCGACCUGGGUUGACAUUGACGCUGAGGCGCGAAAGCGUGGGGAGCAAACAGG